GACGUAGGAGGCGAGCGUUAUCCGGAAUUACUGGGCGUAAAGGGCGAGUAGGCGGCCGUUCAAGUCUGUGAUGAAAUCUCCCGGCUCAACUGGGAGGGAGUCACAGAAACUGGAAGGCUUGAGGGCAGCAGAGGGAGGUGGAAUUCCCGGUGUAGUGGUGAAAUACGUAGAUAUCGGGAGGAACACCAGUGGCGAAGGCGGCCUCCUGGGCUGCACCUGACGCUGAGGCGCGAAAGCGUGGGGAGCAAACAGGAUUAGAUACCCCCGUA
rnacentral:rRNA from 1 species